rnacentral:tRNA from 1 species
CCCCUGGUGGCUCAGAGGGUAAAGCGUCUGCCUGCAGUGUGGGAGACCAGGGUUCGAUCCCUGGCUUGGGAA